AUUGUCUACACGCAUUUAGUCACUUGGUUAUAUUCCUUCUUCCUGUUUUAUACUUUUACAAAAAAUUGUUUAAUAUGGGUAAAUUUUGCCCCAUUAACAAGCUUCUCCAGGGCAAACUCAGAAAAUGAAUCUUUUCCAGUCAGUAACAAGUGCCUUGGAUAACUCAUUGGCCAAAGAUCCUACUGCAGUAAUAUUUGGUGAAGAUGUUGCCUUUGGUGGAGUCUUUAGAUGCACUGUUGGCUUGCGAGACAAAUAUGUCCCUGGCAAGAACCCAUUCUACUUUCUAUCUCUAUGAAUUUG
rnacentral:sRNA from 1 species